AAAUAUUUAUUUCUGUUUUUUUUUUUCAAUUAGGUUUAAGCAUAAAAGUGAUUAGUUUUUUUUAGUUUUUAAAGUUAAGCAUAAAGUGAAAGUCGUACAAAAUAAUAAUACUUCCCCAAGAUACACAAGGCAUACAAAUACUUCUGCAAGAUCCAUCCAAGACACAUCUGUUGAUUGUUUCACAAGAGCCGCAAGCAGAGAGUCCAUAUUCAUAAAUACCUGGCAAAAAAAAAACUACAAAACAUACGGCUGUAAACUGUGCUGGCACAAGAAGAUACAAUUAUACUUCAUUUUACCGCUUUUCUACACAAACCUACAUAAAUACGGACACUCUACGUCCAUAUUCAUAAAUACCUGGCAAAAAAAAAACUACAAAACAUACGGCUGUAAACUGUGGUGGCACAAGAAGAUACAUUUAUACUUCAUUUUACCGCUUUUCUACACAAACCUACAUAAAUACGGACACUCUACGUCCAUAUUCAUAAAUACCUGGCGAAAAGAAAACUACAAAUCGUACGGCUGUAAACUGUGGCGGCGCAAUGAGGUACAACACGGCAUCUUCGGAUAGUUUUUCUACACAAACCUACAUAAAUACGGGCAUCUGAUGAAUCUGGGGGCUCCGAGUAGAAUCGCAAGUAGAACCAAUACUUUGUUUUGACACUGAUUCGGCUAUCGGAAAUUAGAUACUGUGGUUAUCGGGUGAAUGGAUAGGAAUAUUAUAUUUUGCUACUAAUAAUUAUAUUACUCGUGAUUAUAUUUUGAUACUAAAACACACAAAGAUGUUUAAUUGUUUGACUGAAGCAGAAUGGGGUUGGACUCUAAAAGCUUCCAGCAAAAUGCUGAUUUACUUUCGGGGACAUGCAUUGAAUAUCCCCAUUCCCCUUUUGGAAAAUUUUCCACAACUAAGAAUUCUUUUCGAUAUACUCGCAGAUGUAUAAAACCCCCGAGGGCAUGCUAUUAUUCAAGAUUUCAUCUUUAGUUUUACAAAUAUUUCCAGUAAACACAUGUACGUGUGUAUGUAUAUAUGAAUAUGUAUACUAUUACGACAAACAAUAUAUAAAUAUGGGAAUAUGGAUUAAACCUAGAACUUGUUGUUGGGAAUGACUCAUCCCUCGGCAGCAACGGGUACGUUGAGGACGGGCUUUGCCUCCAGAGCUGGUUCCUGGGCAGGCUGUGACUGGACGAGCACCUUGGUGGGCAGGAGAUGCUUGAGGGGCUCUAGGAUGCGCGCCUGCUGCAGAUAGGUGAGCUGCUGCUGCUCCAGCUGCAGGAGGCUGAUGCCCAGGUGAACGGUGAGCGACUGGGGCGGGAAGAUGCCAUGGAUGCACAGUUCAUAAAAAUACGAAUCAACGCAAAAUUCAAAAGAAAAUUUGAAACAAGCAAUCCAUGCCCCACAAAACCCCAGAUGUCAAAUUCGUCGUCGUGUGAGAAUACUGGAAAAAUAUCAGUAUAGUUCGGAGCGUCGGAAGUUAAACACAUAAAAAUAAAAUUCUAAAUUUCAAAAUUUUGUAAAAUAUUUAUUUCGGUUUUUUAUUUCGGUUUUUUUUUUCAAUUAGGUUUAAGCAUAAAAGUGAUUAGUUUUUUUUAGUUUUUAAAGUUAAGCAUAAAGUGAAAGUCGUACAAAAUAAUAAUACUUCCCCAAGAUACACAAGGCAUACAAAUACUUCUGCAAGAUCCAUCCAAGACACAUCUGUUGAUUGUUUCACAAGAGCCGCAAGCAGAGAGUCCAUAUUCAUAAAUACCUGGCAAAAAAAAAACUACAAAACAUACGGCUGUAAACUGUGGUGGCACAAGAAGAUACAAUUAUACUUCAUUUUACCGCUUUUCUACACAAACCUACAUAAAUACGGACACUACGUCCAUAUUCAUAAAUACCUGGCGAAAAGAAAACUACAAAUCGUACGGCUGUAAACUGUGGCGGCGCAAUGAGGUACAACACGGCUUCUUCGGAUAGUUUUUCUACACAAACCUACAUAAAUACGGGCAUCUGAUGAAUCUGGGGGCUCCGAGUAGAAUCGCAAGUAGAACCAAUACUUUGUUUUGACACUAAGAUUCGGCUAUCGGAAAUUAGAUACUGUGGUUAUCGGGUGAAUGGAUAGGAAUAUUAUAUUUUGCUACUAAUAAUUAUAUUACUCGUGAUUAUAUUUUGAUACUAAAACACACAAAGAUGUUUAAUUGUUUGACUGAAGCAGAAUGGGGUUGGACUCUAAAAGCUUCCAGCAAAAUGCUGAUUUACUUUCGGGGACAUGCAUUGAAUAUCCCCAUUCCCCUUUUGGAAAAUUUUCCACAACUAAGAAUUCUUUUCGAUAUACUCGCAGAUGUAUAAAACCCCCCGAGGGCAUGCUAUUAUUCAAGAUUUCAUCUUUAGUUUUACAAAUAUUUCCAGUAAACACAUGUACGUGUGUAUGUAUAUAUGAAUAUGUAUACUAUUACGACAAACAAUAUAUAAAUAUGGGAAUAUGGAUUAAACCUAGAACUUGUUGUUGGGAAUGACUCAUCCCUCGGCAGCAACGGGUACGUUGAGGACGGGCUUUGCCUCCAGAGCUGGUUCCUGGGCAGGCUGUGACUGGACGAGCACCUUGGUGGGCAGGAGAUGCUUGAGGGGCUCUAGGAUGCGCGCCUGCUGCAGAUAGGUGAGCUGCUGCUGCUCCAGCUGCAGGAGGCUGAUGCCCAGGUGAACGGUGAGCGACUGGGGCGGGAAGAUGCCAUGGAUGCACAGUUCAUAAAAAUACGAAUCAACGCAAAAUUCAAAAGAAAAUUUGAAACAAGCAAUCCAUGCCCCACAAAACCCCAGAUGUCAAAUUCGUCGUCGUGUGAGAAUACUGGAAAAAUAUCAGUAUAGUUCGGAGCGUCGGAAGUUAAACACAUAAAAAUAAAAUUCUUAAUUUCAAAAUUUUGUAAAAUAUUUAUUUCGGUUUUUAAUUUCGGUUUUUUUUUUUCAAUUAGGUUUAAGCAUAAAAGUGAUUAGUUUUUUUUUAGUUUUUAAAGUUAAGCAUAAAGUGAAAGUCGUACAAAAUAAUAAUACUUCCCCAAGAUACACAAGGCAUACAAAUACUUCUCCAAGAUCCAUCCAAGACACAUCUGUUGAUUGUUUCACAAGAGCCGCAAGCAGAGAGUCCAUAUUCAUAAAUACCUGGCAAAAAAAAAACUACAAAACAUACGGCUGUAAACUGUGGUGGCCCAAGAAGAUACAAUUAUAAUUCAUUUGACCGCUUUUCUACACAAACCUACAUAAAUACGGACACUCUACGUCCAUAUUCAUAAAUACCUGGCAAAAAAAAAAACUACAAAACAUACGGCUGUAAACUGUGGUGGCACAAGAAGAUACAAUUAUACUUCAUUUUACCGCUUUUCUACACAAACCUACAUAAAUACGGACACUCUACGUCCAUAUUCAUAAAUACCUGGCGAAAAGAAAACUACAAAUCGUACGGCUGUAAACUGUGGCGGCGCAAUGAGGUACAACACGGCUUCUUCUGAUAGUUUUUCUACACAAACCUACAUAAAUACGGGCAUCUGAUGAAUCUGGGGGCUCCGAGUAGAAUCGCAAGUAGAACCAAUACUUUGUUUUGACACUGAUUCGGCUAUCGGAAAUUAAAUACUGUGGUUAUCGGGUGAAUGGAUAGGAAUAUUAUAUUUUGCUACUAAUAAUUAUAUUACUCGUGAUUAUAUUUUGAUACUAAAACACACAAA